rnacentral:rRNA from 1 species
GACGAACGCUGGCGGCGUGCUUAACACAUGCAAGUCGAACGGUAAAGCGCUUCUUUUGUUGGUUGCUCUAGUGGCGAACGGGUGAGUAACACGAGAGUAACGUACCCUUCACUUUUGUUUAACUUCACGAAACUGGGGCUUAUACCGGAUAGGAUCUCCUGCUCCUUGUUGGUGGUGGGAGUGUGUCGGCGGUUGGGUAUGGACUCGUGGCUUAUCAGCUUGGUGGUGGGGUAGUGGCUUACCAAGUCUUCGGCGGGUCGCCGGCCUGAGAGGGGGACCGGCAAAAGGGGGACAGAGAUACGGCACAGAGUCCUACGGGAGGCAGCAGUGGGGAAUAAUGCACAAUGGGCGGAAGCCUGAUGCAGGAACGCCGCGUGCGGGAUGAGGGCCUCCGGGUUGUAAAAAGCAGUCGCCUGUGACGAAGCGGGAGUGACGGUAAUGGGUAAAGAAGCACCGGCUAACUACGUG